rnacentral:rRNA from 1 species
GACAGAGGUGCCAAGCGUUAGGCGGAAUCACUGGGCUUAAAGCGUGUGUAGGCGGAUCGUUAAGUACCUUGUGAAAUCCCACGGCUCAACCGUGGAACUGCUGGGUAUACUGGCGGUCUUGAGCCACCUAGGGGCAACUGGAACAAGCGGUGGAGCGGUGAAAUGCGUAGAUAUCGCUUGGAACGCCAACGGUGAAAACAGGUUGCUGGGGGUGUGCUGACGCUGAGACACGAAAGCCGGGGGAGCGAACGGG